ACCGUGACCACAUCUACCAGAACGAGUGUGUCAAAGAAAGAUACGGACGCACUUGCGGUCUGCUGAAAUUUAGAAUACAUCGCGGCAGAAGUUUUUUCCGUCCUAGAUGAACCCACUUCCAACAAUCUACGGAAAAUUGGAUUAAUCUGAGACAAUCGCAGUUUUCUUCGGAUACGAAAAUUGCUGAAGGAGGUAUCGGGCGUACAGGCGAUGGUGACCUAUUGAAUAGG